rnacentral:rRNA from 1 species
UACGGGGGGGGCAAGCGUUGUUCGGAAUUACUGGGCGUAAAGGGCUCGUAGGCGGCCAACUAAGUCAGACGUGAAAUCCCUCGGCUUAACCGGGGAACUGCAUCUGAUACUGGAUGGCUUGAGUUCGGGAGAGGGAUGCGGAAUUCCAGGUGUAGCGGUGAAAUGCGCAGAUAUCAGGAAGAACACCAAUGGCGAAGGCAGCUCUCUGGGACGGUACUGACGCUGAGACGCGAAAGCGUGGGGAGCGAACAGG